rnacentral:rRNA from 1 species
UUGGCCUCAAAUCAGGUAG